UACGUAGGGUGCGAGCGUUGUCCGGAAUUACUGGGCGUAAAGCGCACGUAGGCGGAUUGUUAAGUGAGGGGUGAAAUCCCAGGGCUCAACCCUGGAACUGCCUUUCAUACUGGCAAUCUAGAGUCCAGAAGAGGUGAGUGGAAUUCCGAGUGUAGAGGUGAAAUUCGUAGAUAUUCGGAGGAACACCAGUGGCGAAGGCGGCUCACUGGUGCUGGAACUGACGCGUGAG
rnacentral:rRNA from 1 species